ensembl:lncRNA
CACACACACACACACACACACACACACACACACACACACACACACACAAUGGCUGUCUUUCUGUCCAUUUUUUUAUUUUACCCCUUUAAUUUGAAAUGCAUUUAUUCAAAAUGAUAACUUUUGACAAUUGGACUUCAACAUGUGAGUCAAACGCACAUCGGACACAGGCGGACAGACAGACAGACAGACCAACUAGCACAAACGCACACACAGUGACAUCCUCAGGGGCCUUUAUUGCUGGCCAGCACACAUGGAGGUCAUUUCAACAGCCUGUCUUCCCCUAAAACCCUUAAAUGGCUUUAACAGCGGGCCGAGCUAGACCAGACACAAACUAAACAGGCGCAUGAGUGUGAUUGCACACGUCCAAUGGCACACAGGAGUAUUUCAAGAUACACACACGCAACCAGCCGAGCUCAAGGGGAACGUAUAACAACGGGGAUUACAACUCCGGCAAUUGAAUUACACAUUGGGAGACAUGAGCAGGACUGAAUGCAUAUAUGUCCGCUGUGCUUAAACCUUCUGUCAAACUCAAACGUUGGUGAAGCCAUGGUUGGAAUAUGCGUGGACGAGAUUGACGAUGAGAGCAGAGGGAGGCUGUUAAUUCUUGACGACAGCGGGUUCGAAGAAUUUGUAGACGACACAGGUGACGGAGAAUUUCCCUCGUCGUUUCAAGUCAGUCGACGCGAAACUGGCUUUAUCGGCCAAACAUCACCGGCGGGCGUCCAGCAGAGCAAAGCAAAGGCAGGCGGACCGACUGUUCACGGAGAGGACAACGGAGAGAUUACCGAGUCAUUAUUUAGGUUACAAGAAGCCACCUGGCCUGACUGAGGGAAACAACGGUUGGCUGGCUGUCUGCUAAAGCCGAUAGCAGGAAACGCAGCCCUUACACUAAGCACCAAACUCUGGAGCUGGAGAAGGAGUUCCCUUACAACAUGUAUUUAUCGAAACAGCGCCGCCUAGAGAUCAGCCAAAACCUUGACCUAACAGACAGGCAGUUCAAAAUCUGGUUCCAGAAUCGCAGAAUGAAGAUGAAGAAGCAACACCGAAGUUCCAGGGAUACUGUGAAAAACAAAAACAGUGAAAACUGAUUAAACCAAGGACAUAGAAGACUGACCCUCUGAUUCAUUGACUGAAUGACAAAAUCAUUAAAGUUUUCAAAGCAUACAUAGACACACGCACGCACGCACGCACACACACACACACACACACACACACACACACACACACACACACACACACACACACACACACACACACACACACACACACACACACACACACACUCAUACAAAGAUAUAUAAUCAAACACUUAAUAACACACGUUUAAUUCUGUUCCGUGUCACUUGUCCGUUUCAUCAUUGUUAUAUGGAAAUUCCAUUUAUAAUGUAGGCCUACUUUAUAUCCUGUGGGAGCUAGAAUUCAAUUUUUAAUUAAUAAGUUUAUUAGCUUGUCUUUUUGAUGCCCACUUUGAAUUAGCGCACAAUUGGUCACCUUUUUGCUUAUAGUAUUUAGUAAGGCUCCACAUCUAGUACAUUCAGCACUUUUAAAAUAGUCUUGAACAUUGCGUUUCUACGUCUCCAGUGAAGUCAGAGGGGAGCUUUUUGGAUUCCACUGCGUAAAGACAUUAGAACAAAUAUAGUAAUCCCUUGCUGACCCAGCACUUGUGUUACGUAUUGGUACUUGUUACAUCAGAAUAGCAUUGUUUUGCAUGUGUUUAAUUUACACCCAAUAUGUGGCACACAUUUGAUAUAUGCAUGUAUUGCCUGAUAGAAUGCCGGAUAGAUUGAUAACACACAUUCAAUUCGGCUUUCCAAUUUAAUGAUUAAAAUCUUCCAAUGCUUUUUUCCUCGAAGGAAUGUAUUAAUAAAGGAACGCCUAUUCAAAGUUCAGAAAGUGGAGACUUAUUGCACACACUACUUUGCAAACUGAUGCACAGUGCUAUCUAGCUAUUCAUUAAAAAUGUAAAGUAGGACACUGAUAUUCCGUUCGCUAAAUGAAGUGUAGCCUACCGGAUAUUAAACUUUCAUAUUCAGAUCCAGAGGCCACACUGACCAAAUAUUCAAUAAUGAGAGUCUUGAUUAGAGAGAGCCUCAUUGACGUCUAUCUUCAGGUAAUAUUCAAGCUCAUUUAUUUUUUAUUUAUAGUUUUAAUUGAACCAACUUGAGUGUAAAGAUUGCAUUGCCAAAUCAUAGGUUUGAUCUUAUUGUGGUGCCGUAUUCAUCACGGAGAAGCAGUAGAAUUGUAUUGAAAGUGCGGCAUUAAAAAAUAUAGCAUCGGCAUACCAUUCUAAGAUUACAAAUGGGUAUUAUUCUUAAAGACGGAUUCAGCCCGAUCUAUCGUGGUCCAAAUGAAGUAUCUAUGUAAAGGCAUAUUAAACAUGGGUUAUUAUUAUUAUUAUUAUUAUUAUUAUUAUUAAUAGAAGAAGUAGUAGCCUAGUAGUAUACAGUAGAAUUAGUAGUAGUGGUAGAAGAGGCAUAGUAUUAGUAUUAUUAUAUAAACUGUUGUAGUAAUACACCUAUUACGUACUGGAUGAUAUCGUAGCCUACGUUUAAAACAAAUAGUAUUAUAACAAAGAAACUUCAUUAUUCAUUUGAUCAAUGUAGCCUACUUAGCUACCAGCCCAAUCUAUACAUUUAAUUAAAGGAAACAACUAAAUAAAUACUUUAUUCACACAUUGAAUUAUGUAAAAUUUAGGUGAGAGGCUUGGUUUGACCUAGCCUUUUAGUUUUUUGUUUGUUUUUGUUGUUUGAGUGUAUUUCGGGAAAGCCUACUUCUUCUGACUUCUAUAGCGAAAUUCCAUGGACAUCCUGAAGACGCGUGAAGUUGAAAAGCCAAGGUGCAGAUGGCUCACGAGACAUCCGCUUUCCGUGUCUCUGUUUGUGCGAGCGAGAGUAAUAAAAAAAAACCCUUAGGUCCACAGCCACAAAAACACACGCCCAUAAACAUAUUCACACAUUCUUUCUCUUGUUGUCUGCUUUUUGUAAUUGUUUGUACCUGGAAGUCCAAAAGCAGACUCUGGAAUUAUUCAUACGAUUUCAUAAAUUAUUGAGAAUGCCCGAAAGGGGAAGAGCUUCGUUUUUGGAUGGAGUAAAUUUAUUUCCAGUUAUUGAUUUAAUACGUGGUUGAGUGUCAGUGGAAAGAGUGCGUUUUAUGAAUUAUUAACCAUUCAUAAUCAUGGCAUGAUCCCAUUUUUUCGCCGAAAGCCUAUUGGAUUGGCUCGACAUUUUUUUUUUUACCUUAUAACCAAAUAACUCUAUCGUUAUAUUUUACAGACGACCCCGCAUGUGCUACGACUUGAUCCAGCCAUCCGUUUGCACUCAGCCCC